rnacentral:rRNA from 1 species
GCAUCGAUGAAGAACGCAGCGAAAUGCGAUAAGUAAUGUGAAUUGCAGAAUUCAGUGAAUCAUCGAAUCUUUGAACGCACAUUGCGCCCGCCAGAAUUCUGGCGGGCAUGCCUGUUCGAGCGUCAUUUCAACCCUCGAGCUCCCCUUUCGGGGGGAGCCCGGCGUUGGGGACCCGGCGCUAACAACGCCGGCCCCGAAAUGGAGUGGCGGCCCGUCCGCGGCGACCUCUGCGUAGUAACAACCACUCGCACCGGGACCCGGGCGCGGCCACGCCGUAAAACACCCCACCUUCCGAAUGUUGACCUCGAAUCAGGUAGGAAUACCCGCUGAACUUAAGCAUAUCAAUAAGCGGAGGA